UGCCAGCCGCCGCGGUAAUACGGAGGGGGCUAGCGUUGCUCGGAAUUACUGGGCGUAAAGGGCGCGUAGGCGGAUUUUCUAGUCAGGCGUGAAAGCCCCGGGCUCAACCCGGGAACUGCGUUUGAUACUGGAAGUCUAGAGUUCUGGAGAGGGUGGUGGAAUUCCCAGUGUAGAGGUGAAAUUCGUAGAUAUUGGGAAGAACACCGGUGGCGAAGGCGGUCAACUGGACGAGUACUGACACUGAGGUACGAAAGCGUGGGUAGCAAACAGGAUUAGAUA
rnacentral:rRNA from 1 species